rnacentral:rRNA from 1 species
CAUGUCUUUUUGAUUAUAAUUUAAGGUUUGGCCUGCUCAAUGAGUAUUAAAUAGCCGUGGUAUAUUGACCAUGCUAAGGUAGCAUAAUCAUUAGUUUCUUAAUUAGGGACUGGAAUGAAAGGUUGGACGAAAAAUUUUCUGUCUCAAUUUAAUUUUAUUAAAAUUUUAUUUUUAAGUUAAAAAGCUUAAAUAUAUUUAAAAGACGAGAAGACCCCAUAGAGUUUAAUAUAAUUAUAAAUGUUUAAAAAUUAUAAAGAAUAUUAUUUACAAAUUUAUAAUUGUAUUUUGUUGGGGUGAUAGAAAAAUUUAAUUAACUUUUUUUAUUUAAAUAACAUUAAUUUAUGAUUAAAUGAUCCAUUAUUUUUGAUUAUAAGAUUAAAUUACCUUGGGGAUAACAGCGUAAUUUUUUAUAGAGUUCUUAUUGAAUAAAAAGUUUGCGACC